GGCUUGGUCUUGGGGCGGGUAGCAACAGCGGCAUCACCAUUGGAGGCAGGCCCAGGUCCACCUUCAUCGAGAACAGCCCGGAUCUCCUCAGCCCGACGAAGAUACUCGGUGAAUUUCUGGGUUAUAGCUUCGCGAAUCUUAGGGUUCUUCUCGUACUUCAAAUGGGUCUUGAAAUACUCGAGCGCGUUCAUAUACAAAGGGAAGGCUUUAGCAUAGUUACCUGCAUUAUCUUCUUGUACGGCUUGCCUUACGUACUCUAUAGCUUGCUCCUUAAAAUUGCUAUACAUCCUAAUCGAAGUUUCUGAUCAAUCAACAGAAGAUCGCAUAUGAGAUUUUUGGGGAGAAAUCAGAAACCCUAAAAUUUUUU
rnacentral:misc_RNA from 1 species